rnacentral:rRNA from 1 species
GAUUAACGCUGGCGGCGUGCCUAACACAUGCAAGUCGAACGAAGUGGCGGACGGGUGAGUAACGUGUGAGUAACCUGCCUUAGAGAAGGGGAUAGCCUUUGGAAACGAAGAAUAAUUCCCUAUACUAUAAGAUGGUCUUGCGUCUGAUUAGUUAGUUGGUGAGGUAACGGCCCACCAAGACAGCGCUCAGUAGCCGGCUUGGGGGCGUGUACGGCAACAUUGGGUCUGGGACACGGCCCAGACACGACGGGAGGCAGCAGUGUGGAAUGUUGCACAAUGGGGGAAUCCCUGAUGCAGCGACGCCGCGUGAUUUAGAAGGCCGUCGGGUUGUAAAAAUCUUUUCUAUGGGAAGCAGUACCAUAGGAAUAAGGACCGGCUAAUUACGUGCCAGCAGCCGCGGUAAUAC